UGUGAUAUGGUUGUUUGUUAUGUUUUGACUAGCGCACUAUUAUGUUGUUGCUCUUGUUUCUUUCUCGUAAAAUUUGCUCUGUUUCUUGUUAUUUGCUAUACUUUCUCCAAUACUAUUUUCUUCUUUUUGUACCUUAAUUUGUUGCACCUGAUUCCAGGAUUUUUUUAAAAAACAGUCUCUCUAACUCCACGAUAUAAUGAUAAGGUCUACGUGCGCUCUAUCCUCCCC
rnacentral:lncRNA from 1 species